GUUGUCGUGUCCGAGAGGUUAAGGCGAUGGACUAGAAAUCCAUUGGGACAUUCCCGCAUAGGUUCAAAUCCAGUCGACAACG